GUUAAGAUGGCAAAUCCCAGCAAUUGCAUAAAUCUUAAAACUUUAUAAUCAGAGGUUCGACUCCUCUUCUUAACA
rfam:Chlorocebus sabaeus isolate 1994-021 chromosome 10, whole genome shotgun sequence.